rnacentral:rRNA from 1 species
CUUAGUGGCGGACGGGGGAGUAACGCGUGGGUAACCUGCCUUACACUGGGGGAUAACACUUAGAAAUAGGUGCUAAUACCGCAUAAUAGGAGAAGACGCAUGUCUUAUCCUUGAAAACUCCGGUGGUGUAAGAUGGACCCGCGUCUGAUUAGCCAGUUGGCGGGGUAACGGCCCACCAAAGCGACGAUCAGUAGCCGACCUGAGAGGGUGAACGGCCACAUUGGGACUGAGACACGGCCCAAACUCCUACGGGAGGCAGCAGUGGGGAAUAUUGGACAAUGGGGGGAACCCUGAUCCAGCGACGCCGCGUGAGUGAAGAAGUAUCUCGGUAUGUAAAGCUCUAUCAGCAGGGAAGAAAGAAAUGACGGUACCUGACUAAGAAGCCCCGGCUAACUACGUGCCAGCAGCCGCGGUAAUACGUAGGGGGCAAGCGUUAUCCGGAUUUACUGGGUGUAAAGGGAGCGUAGACGGCUGAGCAAGUCUGAAGUGAAAGGCGGGGGCCCAACCCCCGGACUGCUUUGGAAACUGUAUAGCUAGAGUGCAGGAGAGGUAAGUGGAAUUCCUAGUGUAGCGGUGAAAUGCGUAGAUAUUAGGAGGAACACCAGUGGCGAAGGCGGCUUACUGGACUGUAACUGACGUUGAGGCUCGAAAGCGUGGGGAGCAAACAGGAUUAGAUACCCUGGUAGUCCACGCCGUAAA